rnacentral:rRNA from 1 species
GACAGAGGCCUCAAGCGUUAGGCGGAAUCACUGGGCUUAAAGCGUGUGUAGGCGGAUCGUUAAGUGUCUUGUGAAAUCCCACGGCUCACCCGUGGAACGGCUGGGCAUACUGGCGAUCUUGGGCCAACUAGGGGCAACUGGAACAAGUGGUGGAGCGGUGAAAUGCGUAGAUAUCGCUUGGAACGCCGAAGGUGAAAACAGGUUGCUGGGGUUGUGCCGACGCUGAGACACGAAAGCCAGGGGAGCAAACGGG